GUAAUAAUAGCUCAGUGGUAGAGCAUGUGCUUAGCAUGCAUGAGGUCCUGGGUUCAAUCCCCAGUACA
rnacentral:tRNA from 1 species